rnacentral:lncRNA from 1 species
UAUACUUUAUACUCAUCUCAUUGUGGGCAUUAAAUAUACAUUUAGCACCAUAAUUUUAUGCCUUAUAUGAAAAGAACUCCUCUAAGAGUGAGUGGGGCCACCUGAAAUUAGCUGUCAGUUGUAUAAACAAGCAACUGCAGUCAUCAGUGGCACAGGAGUAGUAGUGUAUCUGACACAUGGACAUAUAGUAAGGCAAUAGCCUUUUACGGAUACCUCUUCAGUUCAGUAUAAAAAUGACUGCCUUGAUGGUCAUUCUCUAUUUAAAGUAGGUCAGAUGUAAGUAACAGCAAGACCAAAAAAAAAAAAAAAUACAAGAAAGAAAAAAGAAAAAAAGUCUGUGUCUUACAGUAGGUGAAGAUUCAGAAAAUCCCAAGAGGAAUAAUUGGUACUCUACAUGACAUUAAAAUUUGCUUGGGAUUUUACAACUAAGAAUAGAAAAGUCUGGUAUAGCAAAAGGGCUUUUGCAUCAUUGCUGAUCAUAAAGAGUUACAGCCAGCUUAUCUCUUUGAAACAGGAAAAUAUAGAAAAGAAAUGCCUCAUUAAAUAGCAUUAGAAUGAAGAAUACAUGGUACACCUAUUGGGUGUUUUUCUCUAAUGUGACCGACAUAUAUUCCUAACUGUGUUUAGGUUCUUUAUAUUUUAAUUAAUCUUCAGUGACGUAAAAUCACUGGGCUUUAACAACAUUUUGAUUUCAAACCCAUUUAUGAGGUUCAGAUACAACAUGGCUUUAGGCUCUGGGCACCAUUGUGUAUGCUUUAUUGUGGUGAAUAUCAAAACAGCAGUUAAUUAUAGUAGUACCAUUUCUGUUCUUCGCCUCAUUAUCUCUGUCUUGCACUAUUAUUUUCUGUUACUGCUGGCUAUACAGCAUCAGGCCUGGCACCAAUGAAGUGUGAACACAAUGCCAGCACUGCAUUCAGCACAAGAAUAGAAAGGCAGAUGGCAGAUUUUGCUAUUUAUAGUUGGAGGCAAUCUGUCUGAGGUGAGCCCUGCUGAAAUGGCUCUUAUCAAGAAUGUUUUCAUUUAUUAAAGGGAUAAGU